rnacentral:rRNA from 1 species
GACGAACGCUGGCGGCGUGCUUAACACAUGCAAGUCGAACGGAAAGGCCCUGCUUGCAGGGUGCUCGAGUGGCGAACGGGUGAGUAACACGUGGGUGAUCUGCCCCUUACUUUGGGAUAAGCCUGGGAAACUGGGUCUAAUACUGGAUAGGACCAUGCUGUAGGUGGUGUGGUGGAAAGAUUAGUUUCGGUAAGGGAUGAGCUCGCGGCCUAUCAGCUUGUUGGUGGGGUAAUGGCCUACCAAGGCGUCGACGGGUAGCCGGCCUGAGAGGGUGGACGGCAACAUUGGGACUGAGAUACGGCGCAGAAUCCUACGGGAGGCAGCAGUGGGGAAUAUUGUACAAUGGGCGCAAGCCUGAUGCAGCGACGCCGCGUGGGGGGUGACGGCCUUCGGGUUGUAAACUCCUUUCAGCCAUGACGAAGCCCUUGUGGUGACGGUAGUGGUAGAAGAAGCACCGGCUAACUACGUG